AGUCGCGAACGGGUGAGUAACGCGUAGGUAACCUGCCUGAUAGCGGGGGAUAACUAUUGGAAACGAUAGCUAAUACCGCAUAAGAGUCGUUAACACAUGUUAAUGAUUUAAAAGGAGCAAUUGCUUCACUAUCAGAUGGACCUGCGUUGUAUUAGCUAGUUGGUGAGGUAACGGCUCACCAAGGCUUCGAUACAUAGCCGACCUGAGAGGGUGAUCGGCCACACUGGGACUGAGACACGGCCCAGACUCCUACGGGAGGCAGCAGUAGGGAAUCUUCGGCAAUGGACGAAAGUCUGACCGAGCAACGCCGCGUGAGUGAAGAAGGUUUUCGGAUCGUAAAGCUCUGUUAUAAGCGAAGAACGGGAGUAAGAGUGGAAAGUUUACUCUGUGACGGUAGCUUAUCAGAAAGGGACGGCUAACUACGUGCCAGCAGCCGCGGUAAUACGUAGGUCCCGAGCGUUGUCCGGAUUUAUUGGGCGUAAAGCGAGCGCAGGUGGUUUAAUAAGUCUGAAGUUAAAGGCAUUGGCUCAACCAAUGUACGCUUUGGAAACUGUUGAACUUGAGUGCAGAAAGGGAGAGUGGAAUUCCAUGUGUAGCGGUGAAAUGCGUAGAUAUAUGGAGGAACACCGGUGGCGAAAGCG
rnacentral:rRNA from 1 species